rnacentral:rRNA from 1 species
GAUUAUGGCUCAGGAUGAACGCUAGCUACAGGCUUAACACAUGCAAGUCGAGGGGAAACGACAUCGAAAGCUUGCUUUUGAUGGGCGUCGACCGGCGCACGGGUGAGUAACGCGUAUCCAACCUGCCCACCACUUGGGGAUAACCUUGCGAAAGUAAGACUAAUACCCAAUGACAUCCCACGAAGACAUCUGAAUGGGAUUAAAGAUUUAUCGGUGAUGGAUGGGGAUGCGUCUGAUUAG